ensembl:lncRNA
CAGUGGAGUCGGUUCCUCUCAAACCGUCUGGUGAUGAAAUGGUUAACGGUUCGGUGGUACACCACGGUGGAACUCCCGACGGUUAGUUCUACCAUUUCAAAUGUUCAUUUUCAAAUUUCCUGAUCCAUGACAUGUCAGUAUCUGCGUGGUGGUGGCUCAUAUGAAAACUUAUUAUACAUGAAUAAACAAUGCAGAGAAGAGGCUAAAUUCUGUUUUACAUUUUAAACAAAAAUAAGUUAACUUUCUUAAUUCAAGUUGUAGAUAUUUGGUUGCCUUUGUGUUUUCUUUUCAUUUUUGUAGUUAUUUAUGAUAAAUUAUGGUUAAACUGUGAAAUAUUAAACCUCAUUUUCUUUUCUUAACAAAAGGUUUUUUGAUAAUGACAUUGACUUAGCAAUCAUUGCCAUUUUUGUUUCUGUUUUAAUACACACACAUAAUCAGAACUUUAAAAGAUGAUAGGAGAAAUUAAAAUGAAAUUGUUUUGUGAAUUGUCUCUGUACAAAACAAAAGUUGACUAAUGUUAUAAAAACCUGUUUCUUUUCUUCUUCCACAGGUUCUGGUCAGCUGGGGAACGUUCCUGCUCCUUCAGGAGACGAGGCUUGUGUAAUACAGGUUGUCGAAGGAACAGAUACCGGUUCGGCGGUACACCACAGUGAAACUCCCAACGGUUCUGGUCAGCAGAGGAAAAGUUCUUCUACUUCAGUGGAGUUGGUUCUUCUCAAACCGUCUGGUGAUGAAAUGGUUAACGGUUCGGCGGUACACCACGGUGGAACUCCCGACGGUUAGUUCUACCGUUUCAAAUGUUCAUUUUCAAAUUUCCUGAUCCAUGACAUGUCAGUAUCUGCGUGGUGGUGGCUCAUAUGAAAACUUAUUAUACAUGAAUAAACAAUGCAGAGAAGAGGCUAAAUUCUGUUUUACGUUUUAAAUAAAAAUAAGUUAACUUUCUUAAUUCAAGUUGUAGAUAUUUGGUUGCCUUUGUGUUUUCUUUUCAUUUUUGUAGUCAUUUAUGAUAAAUUAUGGUUAAACUGUGAAAUGUUAAACCUCAUUUUCUUUUUUUAUCAAAAGGUUUUGUGAUAAUGACAUUGACUUAGCAAUCAUUGCCAUUUUUGUUUCUGUUUUAAUACACACACACACACACACACACAUAAUCAGAACUUUAAAAGAUGAUAAGAGAAAUUAAAAUGAAAAUGUUUUGUGAAAUGUCUCUGUACAAAACAAAAGUUGACUAAUGUUAUAAAAACCUGUUUGUCUUCUUUUUUUGCAGGUUCUGGUCAGCUGGGAAAAACUUCUUCUACUUCAGUGGAGUCGGUUCCUCUCAAACUGUCUGGUGAUGAAAUGGUUAACAGUUGAACACCACGGUGGAACUCCCGACGGUUAGUUCUACCGCUUCAAAUGUUAAUUAUCAUUAAAAGCACGGUUGAUUACCGCGGUAGAUCAGCCCAGUGAAUACUGUCCAGCUCAGUUAGCAACCGUCUCCCUGACGCAGGCGCAGCAGCAACGUGGGCUUGUUGUGGAUUUGAGAAAUUACAUUUAAAAUGUUUGUUUGAAUUUUCUCUGUACAAAACUAAAGUGGACCUAACGUUAAAAAAACACGUUUGUCUUCUUUUUUCUGCAGGUUCUGGUCUGUGGUGGAACGGUUCUGCCUGACUUGCUCGCAAAGAAGCUACACCCCAGUAUUUUGUAACGUCCGUCGCUCGAAUGUCUUUUAAGGUGUCGGUGGGUGAUGUUCACACACUGUCGUCUGGUGUGUUCCGAAACAUUUUUUAGUUUCUCACACCGAACUGACGGCUGGCGGCGGUGAGGAAAAUAUUCAUUGACUUUUACAAGAAUUGUUUUCUGCUCACUGCCCUUUUUUAUAGAUUUUUUUUAUUCUGACUUUCAUAUUCACUACUUCAGAAGUCUUUGCAUAAUUACUUGAACCAAGAGCCAUGGAGCUGAUGUCGUCAGCUUCUCUGUCAAACAACCAGCAGCAUUAUUCAAAAACUAGUGAACUGAUUUCCAAGACAUUUUGUGGAGGGGGAGCACAGACCUGCCUCGCUCAAACUCAGCCCAGUUAUCUUUGAAGGUAAAUAUUUUGCACAAUGCAAGCGCUUGUAGACUGGAUUUGUGAACUUGUAGAAAAGAUUUGAACCUGUACGUUGAAAUUUUCACUCAGAAAAUAUUCACAUCUGUGUUCUGAAUUUGAAUUCACAGAAGAAAUAUGUCACUCAUUCACAAACAUAUUACAUAUUACAAUUCAAUUUCCAUGACGCGUAUCAUAUCUACAGCGGCAUAUAUGGUUUUAAAAGUAAGCACUCAUUCACAGCCACCUAUGAACAAAUACAUUUAAGAAAAUAUAAUUCUUGUCAGAUCGCAGGGAGCUGGACUCGAUCUCCCCACAGCAGAAGUCCUAAAACUGAAAGUCUCGGCUUAUCACCGUGAGCCACGCCCGCCUAACGCGCCGGUGUCGGUCACAUAUUGACACAUUAUGUCAUCCUCCAGGUAACGUUCGCAUCUGGGUUCACCUGAAUCGGUUACCAUCGGCUCGUCUCAGGAAAUACCAGAAUUAAUCGAGAUUGUUUUCUCGUUAUGACAGAAAAACGAUCCAACUCCAGACAAUACUGUCAAAACACUGAUCCACAGGAAGAAGUAAAAUAUACGUGGUAAUGAUUGAAGUAAAACUAUAAACAAUAAAAAAAUUAAUUUCUAAUGCCUUUUCUUAAAAUGAAUGCUUCACUGUUUGAGUUCGGUAACGAAUUGAUGGAGGUGAACCCAGAGCAGAACGUCACUUGUGAAGUUGAAGUGGCAGAUUCGAGAGGUCGUAAUGAGUAAAAAUAGUUCAUAUGAGUAAAUGUUAGAUUACAAGUUUGCAGAUGCCAGUGUAUUCAUGUAAAUAUCGAUCUACACGUUUGUGAAUAUUUUAUUCUGUGAGUGAAAAUUUCAACAUACGUUCCAAUCUUUUCUACGAGUUCUCACGUGGUCUUCCACAGGUUCACUAAUCCAGUCUACAUAUUUACCUUCAUAGUUAUCCUCCCUUUGUUCUUCAGGGCUGGAAUUAAUUUAAAUAGGUUUCCAAAAUGUCAGGUGCUAAAACCAAAGGGAUCUGUAGCAUCAGCUUAGUAAGUUCACUGCCUCCUCAGGUUUAAAAUUCAAAAGCAGCUUAAUCUUUUUUCUUUUUUGGGAAAGAAGUUCAAGUUGUGCCUCUCACUUAGACCUGUGCCUGGGACGCUUGAAACAUAACAUUGUUACUCACAGUAGUUGUCAGUCAGACGAAGUCGAACCCUUGACGUUACGUCGAUUGAUUGUAAACCAGCUGCUUUGUACAAAGACGACAAACGUCCUCAUCUUUAAUGUUACAUCCAGAUCCACAGCGUAGAAGCUAAAUCACUCCCACAGUCCACUAGAAUUUCCAUAAAACCUUGUUGAGAAGGACGAUGGUUUGAAAGAAAGUCUCAGAUGAAGGAAAAAAAACUAGAAAAAAUAAUAAUAAUGUGAUUAUUAAUAGUCACACUGAUUGUAUUGUUUUUUACGGUAUGUGAUGAGAUGAUUCGCUGUAAAUAUUGCAUUUUUUAAACUUAUUUUCUAACUAAAAAACUUUAAAUAUGUUUACUGUUACUGCAGUAUUCCUCUACGGAACUCUAUAGAGCUUCUCCCUGUCAUGAAUUGUGUGAAUUAUGGCCUCUGUGGUCAGACAUCAUGUAAUUUGUUUUUGCACUGGUACAUGGCGACUCUCUAUUCAAUGUGUUAAUGUGCCGAGACAUACCUGCAAUGACUUUAUAGAUAUAAUAGAUUUCUAAUUAUAUAUUUUGAAUGUUUGUAUGGGCUUUUAAAGAAGUGUGCUAUGUCACCUGAUUGAACUGGAGACAUGUUGUGAUACUGAACCUAAUCCCGGAUCUACAAUGUGUCAAAACUUUUCAACCCAUGCAAAGCUUUGUGUCUCAAAUUUUUCAACUAUUAAAUAAGAAAAAUAUUCCUAUUUGUGUCAGAUGUUUUUGUCUUGCAGAUAAAAAAGUGAAAAUGAUCACGUAUUUAUAAUACAUUCACAAGCCACACAGUAUAUAUAAGGCAAUUCAAAUGAUCCCCGACCUUAAAGUGUUCUUCAAUUGAUAGUUAUUCACAUUUUAAUGGCAAAACAUACGUACUUUAAAUUUGACAUUUUUAAAAUGCAUGUAUUUUACGGUCUGUCUGUAUGUACAUAGUUUAAAAAAAAUCAUGUGAUUGUAAAUGAAGGCAUCAAAAUAGGUACAAGUGGGGCAUUAAAUUAAAGUAACAUGUAAUUGUAUAGAAAGGCACUAAAACGUCAGGGUAAAAGUAUUGUAUUUGAUCAAAAAAUGUAAUAAAACAGUAGAAUAAGGCAGAAAGCCUAAGAAAAGUGCAAUAUGAGGUAUGAUAAAAAAUAUUGUUAAGUAAACCAUAAAAAUGUUAUCCUAUAGUAAGGUAUAAAAAUAUCUUUGGUGUUAGGAGGAAGAAGUUUGGUCAGAUGUAAAAAUAGUGUGAUAAGGCAAAAAGAUUGGAAAAGAAAAAACUGUGGCAUAAGAAUGUAAAAUGAAUCAGUGCAAUGUGGCAUAGAAAUGUCAAACACAGUACAAGGCAUAAAAAUGCCAUCUUACUAUAAG